AACAGGAUUAGAUACCCUGGUAGCCCACGCCGUAAACGAUGUCGACUUGGAGGUUGUGCCCUUGAGGCGUGGCCUCCGGAGCUAACGCGUUAAGUCGACCGCCUGGGGAGUACGGCCGCAAGGUUAAAACUCAAAUGAAUUGACGGGGGCCCGCACAAGCGGUGGAGCAUGUGGUUUAAUUCGAUGCAACGCGAAGAACCUUACCUGGUCUUGACAUCCACGGAAGUUUUCAGAGAUGAGAAUGUGCCUUCGGGAACCGUGAGACAGGUGCUGCAUGGCUGUCGUCAGCUCGUGUUGUGAAAUGUUGGGUUAAGUCCCGCAACGAGCGCAACCCUUAUCCUUUGUUGCCAGCGGUCCGGCCGGGAACUCAAAGGAGACUGCCAGUGAUAAACUGGAGGAAGGUGGGGAUGACGUCAAGUCAUCAUGGCCCUUACGACCAGGGCUACACACGUGCUACAAUGGCGCAUACAAAGAGAAGCGACCUCGCGAGAGCAAGCGGACCUCAUAAAGUGCGUCGUAGUCCGGAUUGGAGUCUGCAACUCGACUCCAUGAAGUCGGAAUCGCUAGUAAUCGUGGAUCAGAAUGCCACGGUGAAUACGUUCCCGGGCCUUGUACACACCGCCCGUCACACCAUGGGAGUGGGUUGCAAAAGAAGUAGGUAGCUUAACCUUCGGGAGGGCGCUUACCACUUUGUGAUUCAUGACUGGGGUGAAGUCGUAACAAGGUAACC
rnacentral:rRNA from 1 species